GCCGAGGUAGCUCAGUCGGUAGAGCAGAGGACUGAAAAUCCUCNUGUCACCAGUUCAAAUAAUAC
rnacentral:tRNA from 1 species